rnacentral:snoRNA from 1 species
AUUGUACCCCAACCCAAAACUUCUGCUUCUGUGUCAGGAGUUUAAACAGAGGUGCACAUGGAAGGUGAACCUUGUUGCCUUUGGGGGCUGUGGCGUGCCCCUCAAAGUGAAUGUAGAGGUUCUACAUCC